rnacentral:rRNA from 1 species
GGGCCCGCACAAGCGGUGGAGCAUGUGGUUUAAUUCGAUGAUACGCGAGGAACCUUACCAGGGCUUAAAUGUAGUGGGACAGGUCUAGAGAUAGACCCUUCUUCGGACUCAUUACAAGGUGCUGCAUGGUUGUCGUCAGCUCGUGCCGUGAGGUGUCAGGUUAAGUCCUAUAACGAGCGCAACCCCUAUCGUUAGUUGCCAGCGAGUCAUGUCGGGAACUCUAACAAGACUGCCGGUGCAAACCGUGAGGAAGGUGGGGAUGACGUCAAAUCAUCACGGCCCUUACGUCCUGGGCUACACACGUGCUACAAUGGUCGGUACAGAGAGCAGCCACUACGCGAGUAGGAGCGAAUCUAUAAAACCGGUCUCAGUUCGGAUCGCAGUCUGCAACUCGACUGCGUGAAGCUGGAAUCGCUAGUAAUCG